rnacentral:rRNA from 1 species
AUUGAACGCUGGCGGCAGGCCUAACACAUGCAAGUCGAACGCGUGGCGGACGGGUGCGUAAUGUCUGGGAAACUGCCCGAUGGAGGGGGAUAACUCCUGGAAACGGUAGCUAAUACCGCAUACCAUCGGAUGUGCCCCCAUGGGAUUAGCUAGUAGGGGGGGUAACGGCGCAACUAGGCGCCGAUCCCUAGCUGGUCUGAGAGGAUGACCAGCCACACUGGAACUGAGACACGGUCCAGACUCCUACGGGAGGCAGCAGUGGGGAAUAUUGCACAAUGGGCGCAAGCCUGAUGCAGCCAUGCCGCGUGUAUGAAGAAGGCCUUCGGGUUGUAAAGUACUUUCAGCGAGGAGGCGUUACUCGCAGAAGAAGCACCGGCUAACUCCGUGCCAGCAGCCGCGGUAAUUC